UGAAGGAAAUCUCUGAAAGAGAAAACGAAGGAAAAGAAACUCCAUAAAAUAUGAACCACAAGCGCCAUGCACCCAUUACGUAUCCAACACGCCAGUCCUCUAAUCUUCAUCGAGCAAAUUGACAGCCUCCGUUGCACUCGUUUCCUUUCGCUUGGAGGAGCUCCUUGUUUCACAGCUUCCGGUCCCUGGUGCUAAUAAAAUAAUAAAUACACGGCGCGCCGCUGGGGUCGAUGGUGUUUCACACCUGCUAGCUAGAUCGAUGCCUUCUUCCUCUUUUAUUAUUUUUUCGCCUUGUUUUCCUUCUUCUUUUUUUACUCAACUAACCCCCCAUCAGGGCCGUAGCGCCGACUUUACACCCCCUUACAAUGCCUCGGCGUACAUUACAUACAAGCCGGUUAUUUCUCCGGGGAGUUUUCUCGCGUGAAUACCGCGAAACCACGCACAGCAAGGUAACACGCGCGCACACACUAACGUUUUAGCGUUAGACCACGCGGAAAUUUCUCUGAUUAGUUUCUACGGAACUAUGCGAUUACGUGGUGUUUUAUGGGCGGCCAGACUUUUUCUUCCCUUUUUGGCAGCAAUCUUCGUGUAACCGAGAGGCAAAUUGAUUUACAUGCCUGUUACUUCUGUCCUACGCUAUCUCAAGUUCUCGCUAGAGAGAUGAAUAUAUUUAACGAUCGUUGUUAACGUUAAAUGUCAGAGGAACGAAAUUUGUCUAAUUGAUCGGGCAAAUUUAGAAAUUGGAAAUUUAUAAUAAACGUUCUCUGGAUCGAUACGAAUAUCACUUAUUCGGUGAAGCACGCGAUCUUUCUAUGACUACGAUGUAGGCUGGAUGAAACGAUAACCAGGGUCGUCGAAGACGACGCGAUAACGCGAAAUCGGCGACGAGGUCUGGACCAGCGAAAAGUUUCCGGCGCCAUAAGGAUCGUACGCCUCGGGCCGGUCAGGGUGAAACUUUUCGCCUAAAUUCCCCCGGGUGCCAUGAGAAAGCAUCAGUCCCACCAUCGUCGGGGAGAGUACAACGCCCCUGAAGUGCAAAACGUCCUGCUACCAGUCACCAUCUCCGCGUCAAAUAAAACAACCGACAAACAAUCGUCAAAUAAUAGCAUCCAGAGAAAUAAUACAAUAACAGAAUAAUGGAAUAGUAAUAACGCAGAAAAAGUAGUACAUCGAUAGUAUAAUAGAUGGAUACUAACAUUGAAAAGUAAAACGAUAGAAGUAGAAUGCAAUAUUUAAUAAUAGCGCAUAAAAAUUUCCUUCUUUCUAUUGUUAAUCCAUUUAGAACUAGGAAUUCGUAUAUUUUAUUUGCAAUUUUUUUUUCUUUUUUUAAUAUUCUUUGCUUUGCUAGAAUUUGAGGGCUUUUCUUUUCUAAUUUUUCCGAUCUCUUCCUUUCUGCUCGUAAUGUCUUCUAGCAAUAAUUUGUUGGAAAUAUAACGAAAGCAACGAAGGUAUGUUAUUAUAAAAUUCGAUACAGGUAAUAGUUGGGAUGGGUGAUUUUUGGUGUUUGAUAAGAGUCGAAGACACAGGAAUAGUUUGUUUGUAUGGGCAGAAAGUUUGUACAUGCAGAUACAUAUACGUAGGCAGAAACUUUAUAUAGGAAAUAUU